GCCAGUGUGGUUAAUGGUUUGAGCGUUGGACUAUGACUCUGGACACCAGGGUUCAAAUCUCUGCUCAGCCA